AACGAACGCUGGCGGCAUGCCUAACACAUGCAAGUCGAACGAGACCUUCGGGUCUAGUGGCGCACGGGUGCGUAACGCGUGGGAACCUGCCCUUAGGUUCGGCAUAACUCCCCGAAAGGGGUGCUAAUACCGGAUAAUGUCUUCGGACCAAAGAUUUAUCGCCUUUGGAUGGGCCCGCGUUGGAUUAGCUUGUUGUUAGGGUAAAAGCCUACCAAGGCGACGAUCCAUAGCUGGUCUGAGAGGAUGAUCAGCCACACUGGGACUGAGACACGGCCCAGACUCCUACGGGAGGCAGCAGUGGGGAAUAUUGGACAAUGGGCGAAAGCCUGAUCCAGCAAUGCCGCGUGAGUGAUGAAGGCCUUAGGGUUGUAAAGCGCGUUUACCCGGGAUGAUAAUGACAGUACCGGGAGAAUAAGCUCCGGCUAACUCCGUG
rnacentral:rRNA from 1 species